GCCUCCUAAAUGCACUGUUUUUAAAAGAUUAAGGAAUUAAUAGAUGUUACAGCUGCUGUCCUUAGCAAUUACUGUAAAUUGGUUACAGCCUUUAAAAAAAUCCACUCACCGUCAAUGCAGGACACAGUAAACACUGG